rnacentral:rRNA from 1 species
UACGAAGGAGGCUAGCGUUGCUCGGAAUCACUGGGCGUAAAGGGCGCGUAGGCGGCGUUUUAAGUCGGGGGUGAAAGCCUGUGGCUCAACCACAGAAUGGCCUUCGAUACUGGGACGCUUGAGUAUGGUAGAGGUUGGUGGAACUGCGAGUGUAGAGGUGAAAUUCGUAGAUAUUCGCAAGAACACCGGUGGCGAAGGCGGCCAACUGGACCAUUACUGACGCUGAGGCGCGAAAGCGUGGGGAGCAAACAGG